rnacentral:rRNA from 1 species
GACGAACGCUGGCGGCGUGCUUAACACAUGCAAGUCGAACGCUGAAGCUCAGCUUUUGUUGGGUGGAUGAGUGGCGAACGGGUGAGUAACACGUGAGUAACCUGCCCCCUUCUUUGGGAUAACGCCCGGAAACGGGUGCUAAUACUGGAUAUUCACUGGUCUUCGCAUGGGGGUUGGUGGAAAGGGUUUUUCUGGUGGGGGAUGGGCUCGCGGCCUAUCAGCUUGUUGGUGGGGUGAUGGCCUACCAAGGCUUUGACGGGUAGCCGGCCUGAGAGGGUGACCGGGCACAUUGGGACUGAGAUACGGCCCAGACUCCUACGGGAGGCAGCAGUGGGGAAUAUUGCACAAUGGGCGCAAGCCUGAUGCAGCGACGCCGCGUGAGGGAUGGAGGCCUUCGGGUUGUGAACCUCUUUCGCUCAUGGUCAAGCCGCAACAAUGGUUGUGGUGAGGGUAGUGGGUAAAGAAGCGCCGGCUAACUACGUG